rnacentral:piRNA from 2 species
UAACCAUACUUGGAGACCAUACUAAUGUG